rnacentral:rRNA from 1 species
UACAGAGACUGCAAGCGUUGUUCGGAUUCAUUGGGCGGAAAGGGUGUGUAGGCGGCGCGGUAAGUCGGGUGUGAAAUCUCGGAGCUUAACUCCGAAACUGCAUUCGAUACUGCCGUGCUUGAGGACUGGAGAGGAGACUGGAAUUUACGGUGUAGCGGUGAAAUGCGUAGAUAUCGUAAGGAAGACCAGUGGCGAAGGCGGGUCUCUGGACAGUUCCUGACGCUGAGGCACGAAGGUCAGGGGAGCAAACGGG